rnacentral:misc_RNA from 1 species
GAUGAAGAACGCAGCGAAAUGCGAUAAGAAAUGCGAAUUGCAGAAUUCCAGUGAGUCAUCGAAUCUUUGAACGCACAUUGCGCCCUUUGGUAUUCCGAAGGGCAUGCCUGUUCGAGCGUCAUUAUCACCCCUCAAGCCCUCGGCUUGGUGUUGGACGGUUUGGUGGAGGCCCCCUCGGGGGCUCCUGCCCCUCCCAAAGACAAUGACGGCGGCCUCGUUGGACCCCCGGUACACUGAGUUCUUCACGGGACACGUAUCGGACACAUGGGUUUACGGGACACGGUCUGCCUCCCCUCAGGGAGAAUCUUUCUAAGGUUGACCUCGGAUCAGGUAGGGAUACCCGCUGAACUUAAGCAUAUCAAUAAGCGGAGGA